GCCAGUGUGGCAUAGUGGUUUGAGUAUUGGGUUGGAACUCUAGAGACCAGGGUUUGAAUCCCGGCCCAGCCA